GGGAGUAGGCCUCCCGUAAUCGGUCUGCAGGGACGGGUUACAAAUCACCGGAUGCUGCUCUUGAGGCAAUGCAAGGGUAGUGAGCGAAACCGGAAAAAUCAGCAAAUAGCUGGAAGA
rfam:Desulfobacterium sp. 4572_20 ex4572_20_scaffold_61777, whole genome shotgun sequence.